rnacentral:rRNA from 1 species
AUUUCGCUUAAAUCCGGUAAUGAGCGCAACCCACACCUUUAGUUGCCAGCAGUUCGGCUGGGCACUCUAGGGGAACUGCCCGUGAUAAGCGGGAGGAAGGUGUGGAUGACGUCAAGUCCUCAUGGCCCUUACGGGUUGGGCUACACACGUGCUACAAUGGUAGUGACAAUGGGUUAAUCCCAAAAAGCUAUCUCAGUUCGGAUUGGGGUCUGCAACUCGACCCCAUGAAGUCGGAAUCGCUAGUAAUCGCGUAACAGCAUGACGCGGUGAAUACGUUCCCGGGCCUUGUACACACCGCCCGUCACACCAUGGGAGUUGGGUCUACCAGAAGGCGGUGCGCCAACCAGCAAUGGGGGCAGCCGACCACGGUAGGCUCAGCGACUGGGGUGAAGUCGUAACAAGGUAGCCGU